rnacentral:rRNA from 1 species
GUAGGAUAGAGGCCUACCAUGGUUUUAACGGGUAACGGGGAAUUAGGGUUCGAUUCCGGAGAGGGAGCCUGAGAAACGGCUACCACAUCCAAGGAAGGCAGCAGGCGCGCAAAUUACCCAAUCCCGACACGGGGAGGUAGUGACAAUAAAUAACAAUACGGGGCUCAUUUGGGUCUCGUAAUUGGAAUGAGUACAAUUUAAAUCCCUUAACGAGGAACAAUUGGAGGGCAAGUCUGGUGCCAGCAGCCGCGGUAAUUCCAGCUCCAAUAGCGUAUAUUUAAGUUGUUGCAGUUAAAAAGCUCGUAGUUGGACCUUGGGUCGUCACGGUCGGUCCGCCUACUUGGUGUGCACUGGCCCUCACGUCCCUUCUGCCGGCGGCGCGUUCCUGGCCUUAAUUGGCUGGGUCGCGGUUCCGGCGCCGUUACUUUGAAAAAAUUAGAGUGCUCAAAGCAAGCCUACGCUCUGAAUACAUUAGCAUGGAAUAACGCGAUAGGAGUCUGGUCCUGUUCCGUUGGCCUUCGGGACCGGAGUAAUGAUUAAUAGGGACUGUCGGGGGCAUUCGUAUUUCAUUGUCAGAGGUGAAAUUCUUGGAUUUAUGGAAGACGAACCACUGCGAAAGCAUUUUCCAAGGAUGUUUUCAUUAAUCAAGAAUGAAAGUUGGGGGCUCGAAGACGAUCAGAUACCGUCCUAGUCUCAACCAUAAACGAUGCCGACCAGGGAUCGGCGGAUGUUGCUCUAAGGACUCCGCCAGCACCUUCUGGGAAAC